AUGCGGACAGAAGGAAGAACACGAAAUCAGCAGGGCAUAGAAAAAAUAAGGGUACACGACAAGAUCAGGAAAGGAGAACGAAUCUCAACCAAUAGUCCCGUCCAGAGUAUGGACGACAUUGCAGCCGACGAGAGCACCACCGGUGAAGGAGAGGAAAUCCAAUCGAAGAGAGAGAGAGAGAGCGCAACACAACGAGGAGGAGAAAGAGAGCAAAGCGGUCAAAGCGAGAGCGCGGCCGACCUAUGCUCGUUAGCAAGUCAUGCCGGCCUCCUAACCCUCCCCUGCCAGCCAGCCCCCGAUGCGAAGAAUCCGCCGGCCCUACUAUCCCGCGGCGACGACCUGCACUGA
rnacentral:rRNA from 1 species